CUACGGGAGGCUCCAGUGAGGAAUUUUGCGCAAUGGGGGAAACCCUGACGCAGCAACGCCGCGUGAGUGAUGAAGGCUCUCGGGUCGUAAAGCUCUGUCAAUAGGGAAGAAGUCGUGUAGGGCUAAUAACCUUAUGCGUUGACGGUACCUAUAAAGGAAGCACCGGCUAACUCCGUGCCAGCAGCCGCGGUAACACGGGGGGUGCAAGCGUUAUUCGGAAUUAUUGGGCGUAAAGGGUGCGCAGGCGGUUUGUUAAGUCAGAUGUGAAAGCCCGGGGCUCAACCCCGGAAGUGCAUUUGAUACUGGCAGACUUGAGUAUGGUAGAGGAAAGCGGAAUUCCUGGUGUAGAGGUGAAAUUCGUAGAUAUCAGGAGGAACACCGGUGGCGAAGGCGGCUUUCUGGACCAAUACUGACGCUGAGGCACGAAGGUGUGGGUAGCAAACAGGAUUAGAUACCCGAGUAGUC
rnacentral:rRNA from 1 species